rnacentral:rRNA from 1 species
UACGUAGGCAGCAAGCGUUGUUCGGAAUUACUGGGCGUAAAGAGUGUGUAGGCGGUGCUCUAAGUUCGGUGUGAAAUCUCCUGGCUUAACUGGGAGGGUGCGCCGAAAACUGGAGUGCUCGAGCGUGGGAGAGGAAAGCGGAAUUCCUGGUGUAGCGGUGAAAUGCGUAGAUAUCAGGAGGAACACCUGUGGUGUAGACAGCUUUCUGGACCAUAGCUGACGCUGAGACACGAAAGCGUGGGUAGCAAACAGG